AUGGUUAAGUUAGAAAGGGCGCACGGUGAAUGCCUUGGCACUAGGAGCCGAUGAAGGACGGGACUAACACCGAUAUGCUUCGGGGAGCUGUAAGUGAGCUUUGAUCCGGAGAUUUCCGAAUGGGGAAACCCACUGUUCGUAAUGGAACAGUAUCUUUAUCUGAAUACAUAGGAUAUUGAAGGCAGACCCGGGGAACUGAAACAUCUAAGUACCCGGAGGAAGAGAAAGCAAAUGCGAUUUCCUGAGUAGCGGCGAGCGAAACGGAAUUAGCCCAAACCAAGAGGCUUGCCUCUUGGGGUUGUAGGACACUCUAUACGGAGUUACAAAGGAACGAAGUAAAUGAAGCGACCUGGAAAGGUCCGUCAAAGAA
rnacentral:rRNA from 2 species